ACACAUACUCAAACAACUCAUAAAAUACAUACAAACAACACACAUUACACACACACAUAUAACAUACACAAUACACAAAACUCAUAACACAUACACAAAAAACACACAUACACACAUAACAUACACAAAAACCAAUACACAUAAAAAUAACACACAACACAAAAGAUACACACACACACAACUCAUAACAACACAUACUACAC
rnacentral:lncRNA from 1 species